rnacentral:lncRNA from 1 species
UAGUUUUUGGUCAGGUUUGCAUAACCGAAUAUGAUAUUUACCGAAAUGAGUGGUAAUUAAACUCAAAAAUAAAUUUAAACUAAAAUAGUUGUGUGUGCUGUUUCACUAACAAUAAAUAUCAUAAUUCUUGGAGGCUUUGUCAUAGAAGACCCUCCCUUUAUACUAUUUAAGUUCAAAAACAUUUCACUUCUGGGAUAAUGGGUUAGUGACAUUUGU